rnacentral:rRNA from 1 species
CCCUACUGCUAUCGGGGUGGGACUAAGACAUGCGAGUCGAGCGUCUCCAGCUAUGGUGAGACGCGGCAGACGGCUCAGUAACACGUGGCUAACCUACCCUCAGGACGGGGACAAACCCGGGAAACUGGGGCUAAUACCCGAUAGGCGAGGGCGCCUGGAAUGGUUCUUCACCCAAAGGGCUUUGGAAGCAUGCUUUUCAAAGUCGCCUGGGGAUGGGGCCGCGUCCGAUCAGGUUGUUGGUGAGGUAACGGCUCACCAAGCCUAUAACCGGUACGGGCCGUGAGAGCGGUAGCCCGGAGAUGGGCACUGAGACAAGGGCCCAGGCCCCACGGGGCGCAGCAGUCGCGAAAACUCCGCAAUGCACGAAAGUGUGACGGGGCUACCCCGAGUGCCGUCCUCUGAGGAUGGCUUUUCCUCGGUGUAACUAGCCGGGGGAAUAAGGAGAGGGCAAGACUGGUGUCAGCCGCCGCGGUAAUACCAGCUCUCCGAGUGGUAGGGAUGAUAUUGGGCUUAAAGCGUCCGAAGCCGGCUUAAGCAAGUCUCCUGUUAAAUUCAGCGACCUAAUCGUUGAGCCGCGGGAGAUACUACUAGGCUAGGAGGCGGGAGAGUUCGACGGUAUUUCCGGGGUAGGGGUGAAAUCCUAUAAUCCCGGGAGGACCACCAGUGGCGAAGGCUGUCGACUAGAACGCGCUCGACGGUGAGGGACGAAAGCUGGGGGAGCGAACCGGAUUAGAUACCCGGGUAGUCCCAGCCGUAAACGAUGCGGGCUAGGUGUUGGGGUGGCUACGUGCCACUUCAGUGCCGCAGGGAAGCCAUUAAGCCCGCCGCCUGGGGAGUACGGCCGCAAGGCUGAAACUUAAAGGAAUUGGCGGGGGAGCACCACAAGGCGUGAAGCUUGCGGUUCA